GCUGUAAUGCAGCCACCUGUCCGGUGAGGGUCACAAGUCCCUAAUGCAGAGUGCAAC
rnacentral:ribozyme from 2 species